rnacentral:misc_RNA from 1 species
CAGCUGCGUGAAUUAAUGUGAAUUGCAGGACACAUUGAACAUCGAUAUCUUGAACGCAUAUUGCGGCCUCGGGCAUUCCCGAGGCCACGCCUGUCUCAGGGUCGGUUGAAAGUCAAUCGCGAGGCGCUUCCAUCGCUCGCGCAUUGGGCGUCGCAGUCGAUCUCGAUCGUUGCUGCGUCGCCUCAAGUGCAGACGGGUUGCCCGGUCGUCGGCUGUCUCUGCCGCGCAGUAUCGGGACGGUGACUCGACUCUUAGCAAUUCGAGCUGAUCUCCGUCCCGGCCGCUGUCGGCUUGCCGAUCGAACGAGCGACAAACUAACAAAUUCAGACUUCGACCUGAGAUCAGACGAGAUUACCCGCUGAAUUUAA